rnacentral:rRNA from 1 species
CCUACGGGAGGCAGCAGUGGGGAAUUUUGGACAAUGGGCGCAAGCCUGAUCCAGCCAUGCCGCGUGAGUGAAGAAGGCCUUCGGGUUGUAAAGCUCUUUCGGCGGGGAAGAAAUUGCACUCUCUAAUACGGGGUGUAGAUGACGGUACCCGCAUAAGAAGCACCGGCUAACUACGUGCCAGCAGCCGCGGUAAU